GACGAACGCUGGCGGCGUGCUUAACACAUGCAAGUCGAACGGAAAGGCCCUGCUUUUGUGGGGUGCUCGAGUGGCGAACGGGUGAGUAACACGUGAGUAACCUGCCCUUGACUUUGGGAUAACUUCAGGAAACUGGGGCUAAUACCGGAUAGGAGCUCCUGCUGCAUGGUGGGGGUUGGAAAGUUUCGGCGGUUGGGGAUGGACUAGCGGCUUAUCAGCUUGUUGGUGGGGUAGUGGCUUACCAAGGCUUUGACGGGUAGCCGGCCUGGGAGGGUGACCGGCCACAUGGGGACUAAGAUACGGCCCAGACUGCUACGGGAGGCAGCAGUGGGGAAUAUUGCACAAUGGGCGGAAGCCGGAUGCAGCAACGCCGCGUGCGGAAUGACGGCCUUCGGGUUGUAAACCGCUUUCGCCUGAGACGAAGCGUGAGUGACGGUAAUGGGUAAAGAAGCACCGGCUAACUACGUG
rnacentral:rRNA from 1 species